AACUGAGUGAAUAUGAUAUUUAAUACCAACCCUGAAUAGUCAUCAAAGCUUAAGGCUUGACAAAUUUCUUGAGUGAAACUCAAGGCCAACAAUCAAAAGAAACAUGGAAGAUUUUUAUUGAUGGAUAUCUACCGACAAGGCAGCAAUGUCUGGAUCCUGUUAAUCUCUCCUCGAGAGCAUACGCUCCAGCUUUCCGCGAUAUUCGCAAUGUUUCUAGGAUUCCGGCAGCCAGCGCGGUGGCGGUGGCUUCUUCGUCUAGCACGGUUGUUGGCGCCAGAAGCCACGAAAGCGGUGGGCAACGUGCGGGAGCAGGAUCGCUCCCUCCCCAUCGCUAACAUCAUUCAGAUCAUGAAGUCCCUGCCAAUGCCAAGGUCCCCCCUCCUCCAGACAUUCCAUCGACCAGUUUGCUUGCUUGCUCUUCUUCCGCAUCUGCCACGGAUACAGACGCCAUCGUGCACCACAUCCUCUCUAGUCUGAGCAACGCUCGCGACGUCGCCGCCUGCGCCUGCGUCGUCUCACACUGCUGGAACGAGGUCGUGCCCUACAUCCCCUCCCUCUAUUUCCCCGCAACUCCUUGGACGAUGCUUCUUAUCUUUUCAACCCGUCGCUGCUCCCCUCUCAUUGGCUUCGGUUCGAUUGACGCAAAGCGACUCUUGUUGUAGCUCUAGCCAUGGCUGCCCAAUUCCAAACCCUUCUCCUGUCUUCCUCCUCUUCUCGCCCUUUCCACGCUGCCCUCCUAGCCCAUCCCCUCGGUCUCUCCCUUUCGACCUCAGCGCUCGCCCCAUGGGCAAUCGCUACUACAGAUCAGAGAACCCUGCAUCAGGUAAACGAAUAUUGGUGUUUUUAUAUGCUUAAAGUGUAGUGAUGUUCACAGGCCUCUUGGUACAGAUGUAUCAAAGGUGCUGCCUUUGACAUUAGAAGAAUGGACUGAAAGCGACAUUGAUUCCAUGAUUGAAGUGGGCGGCAAUUCAUAUGCCAACUCAAUAUAUGAGGCUUUUCUUCCUAAAGGGCAUCGAAAACCUAAACCAGAUUCAAGUCCAAGUAUGAGUUGUAAGAUUUCCUAAAACCAAGUUUGGGUAUAUCCUUCAAAACAUAUGAAUUCAAGGGAUUUAGAUCACAAGCAUCGACCCUGUAGUUCAAAGAAGACAAACAUUCAAAGAAGUAAAUAAAGUGAAUUCGUCUACUCCUAUAUGGUUGUCCAAGGGUCGUGUACACUAUGAUAUACAUUCUUAGGUUGUAUUUAGAUAUUUGUAGAUAUAUUUUUGAAUGAAGUUGGUCAGACAUGUCUAGUUUGAACUUGUGGAUUUUAUUUGUUGAUUUCAACACUUUAUUUGAGUCAGUUGGAUUUCAUUUUUAAUUUUGUAGAUAUUUUA